CCUACGGGGGACAGCAGUAGGGAAUCUUUCACAAUGGGCGAAAGCCUGAUGGAGCAAAGCCGCGUGAAGGAUGAAGGCCUUCGGGUUGUAAACUGCUUUUAUAAGCGAGAAAUAUGAUGGUAACUUAUGAAUAAGGAUCGGCUAACUACGUGCCAGCAGCCGCGGUCAUACGUAGGAUCCGAGCAUUAUCCGGAGUGACUGGGUGUAAAGAGUUGCGUAGGUGGCAUAAUAAGUAGCUAGUGAAAUCUGGUGGCUCAACCAUUCAGACUAUUAGCUAAACUGUUAAGCUCGAGACCGUUAGGGGUAACUGGAAUUUCUAGUGUAGGAGUGAAAUCCGUAGAUAUUAGAAGGAACACCAAUAGCGUAGGCAGGUUGCUGGGACGGUUCUGACACUAAGGCACGAAAGCGUAGGGAGCAAACGGGAUUAGAUACCCCGGUAGUC
rnacentral:rRNA from 1 species